rnacentral:rRNA from 1 species
UACAGAGGUCUCAAGCGUUGUCCGGAAUUAUUGGGCGUAAAGAGCUUGUAGGCGGUCCGUCACGUCCGCUGUGAAAACCCAGGGCUCAACCCUGGGCUUGCAGUGGAUACGGGCAGACUAGAGGUAGGUAGGGGAGAAUGGAAUUCCCGGUGUAGCGGUGAAAUGCGCAGAUAUCGGGAGGAACACCGGUGGCGAAGGCGGUUCUCUGGGCCAUAACUGACGCUGAGAAGCGAAAGCAUGGGGAGCGAACAGG